rfam:Alicyclobacillus acidocaldarius subsp. acidocaldarius DSM 446, complete genome.
GAGCCAUUAGCUCAGUUGGCAGAGCACCUGACUUUUAAUCAGGGUGUCGCUGGUUCGAAUCCAGCAUGGCUCA